GAUCUUGAAACUGUCCUUCCCAGAUCUCUAAUAUUCAUCUUCCCAGGCUAUCUUUGAGCUUCAUUUUGGUUACAUUUCAUUAUAAAAGGCUGGAAUAGCCAAGGAUGAGAAAUUGUAUAGUUUCCAUAAACUGAAAAAGCAUGCUGUACCAAUUUAGAAUGCAAAGUGAUAAUUCCUAUAUUAAAAAUUUCCCUUUUUUGGGCUAAAAUACCCCAUACUCAAUGUCUGGCAAACAUGUCAUAUCCAAAAAAUACACAAACUCUAUCUCUUUAAAACAUAAAUCUACUGGAACUGGGAAACUCUGCAGAAGCCACCAUCUCGAACAUAUUACAGAUGUUCGAGCAACAACCUGCCCAAGGGAGAUAAGGGACAUCACAGGGUCUCAUGGGGUGUUAAGAUAAAGUGCCACAGCCAAGCCCAGCUCCUUUGCAUCGUCAUGAUGGAAAACACACGUCCUUCAGUGUCUAAAGCUUUGGUUUUGAGAAGGAAAAGCUUCUGACCUUUAUCCAGCCAAGCUCAUAGCAACCAGGAAGCAACAUUUCCACAUUCAUGCACAACAGCAGCAGUGUCCCCAAAGCAGCCAGCCUCUUAACUGUGUCUCAGUUUAGCAGAAAGGAAUACUGAGGUCAGGAUCCCCUUAAGGGUCAGGAAGGUACUAUUAUUCCAUACUAUUAUAUUAUAUACUAUAUUAUUAUAAGAAAGGUACAAAUUAACUUACACACUAUCCAAUGGUUUUAAUUUUUCAUUUAGAAAGGUCAGUCUGGAUGGGUGACUUACAUUCCUUGUUCCAGAAAACACAUCCUUCACAACUUGUGGAAGUUGAUGUUAUCUCCCUAUUUUUGUGCCUCUGCCAGAAGCCAGGGAGUAAUAAUAAUAAUAAUCUUUCUUUUACCUAUUUAUUGUCUAACUUGCUAGGCUACAGAAUCUGUACUAUGUUCUGUUUUGUGUUCUCUGCCACAGAUUUCUUCAGUGAUCCUAGCCAAGCCACUCAGCCCUUCUGUGUCUGUGUUGUCUAUCUGCUGAUGACAAGGGCAAAAAGGUAGUGCCAUCUGAUGACUGCACAAAAGUUGCUUCUGGAAGAACGAUGAAGACCGUUUUCUCCCAGUGUUAACAGCGGUUUGAAAGAAAGAAUGUUGUUGGUAAUGGUUUCCUUCAGUGCAGAAAGCACUCAAAAAAACCCCCAACCCCCAAAACCAAAAACCAAACAGCCAAAAAAAAACCCAGCCAAAAAAACCCCAAACCAACAAAGAGACAGGCAACCAAACCUCCUUUUGCCCUCCUCCAAUUCUGAGAGCAAGAUUAACCAAUGAGACACCAAUGUUUAUCCAGAGAACAGCUGUCCCAGUCUCCAGCAGCUGCAGGCCUGCAGGAAUGCUCACAGGGUGGGAAGAAGGAAGAAAUGCACUCCCAUCUGCUUCAAUCUUUCAAGAGUGUGAAUAUGAACAGACCUGCUGACUUCUGAUCUUAAUCAAGCUCAACUUUUAAAAUUGUAUCUUUUUACAUGUUUAAAAUUCAAAAUUCUGCAUAUCUUGAAUUAUCUACAAUUAAAGUAUCAACGCAGAGCUAGACAAUGCCCAAGAUUUGUCUUCUUCAGUUUUGGACUGAAACCUAAACUCAAGAACAGCCUUCUUUUCCCCAUCAAAAAGAACCUGAUUCAACUAUGUACUAGUAACUUCUAUGUACUGUUACUAAAGAAGUACUUAUAAGAGAGUAUAAGCUUCCAUGAACUUAUUAAAAUUUAAUUAUUUCUUACUGCAGGCAAGGACAAUCUCUACAACCAACUCAUGCUACUUGGUGCCAAAUGCAUUCUACUUUAAUGACAGCUGCCAAAACAAUGAACAUCCUCACUCUGCAAGCUUAAGCACACAUGCUAUCCUAAAUGAAGCUUAUGAAAGAUCACAGCCAAAAAGUGCUUCCAGGUAGAAAAUACAGUGUCAGAUUUCCUCGAAAACACCUAUUUGCCAAUUGAAAACACUGCCAAUUUCACAGAAAAGUAGAAGGUUGGACCAGCUCUGCUAAAUACAACUGGCCACAAAACUGGCAAUAUGACACAGCCAGGACCCAAAACUGAGCCAGAACUUGCCAGAGCUGCAGAAUCCCUUUUAUAGAACAAGUAGCUUUCUUGGGGUGCUACCACUUACAUAUUUCGUGCUGUCUCUUUUCUACAUGUUCUUAUUUUUCUUGGCUAUAUAGAUUCACUAGAAACCAUACCAGGAAAAUAAAGUAUUAUAUAUAAUCUUCAUCUCUCAUAUACCUGCUUUAUGAAAGCACUGGCAAAAUGGAAGGUUUUCUUUCAAGCUUCAUACUUACAUGGGGCAAAAAAAACCCCAACUUUCUAAUAUUUCCAUACUUGAUUUAAAUGCAAGAUGCCAAACAAUCUGCCAUCUGCUAAAUGAUAUAAAAAAAAAUUGUGACAGAGACAUUUUCGAAUAGCAUGGUUUCACAUCUACACAUAGGCCAAGAACAUGUAAGAAACCCUAUUAUUACAGUACUUACAGAGGAACAUUGACUUUUUUCUGUUCAAUUUCCACGUAAAAGCAAACACUUAAAUCCCCCAUGACUUCACUUUGUUCCUUUAGAAACUGUGUAAGAAAACUGAAUCCAGAUGUCUAUGAGACUUAAAAAGAGAAAACAGCAGAAAGGAUCAAAAUGCCUGACUAGAUCAGUAUUACUGAAUGCAACACAAUUCGUCAAAACCAGUGUUGUAUGAAGACUUGUCAUUAAAUGCUUAACUUGGUGCAAAUUGCAUAGAAUCCUUUUUAUUCAAAUGGCCUAAUUAUUAGUUUCAACAACACCCAAAACAAGAUUUUUACCUAGAAGUGUAUGGUUUGGAAUUUUUCCAAGACAACACAAUGCCUAUGGGCUGAGUUCUGACAUGCUUCCCAGAAAAAUAAGCACUCAGAUUUGAAAAGAAGUUAUACCAACUGUAAUGUAAAUAGCAUCGUUAUCUAUCCACUUUGCAAAUUCCAACUGGUAUUUAACCAUUUAGUACUAUCUAUGGUCAUUUACACAAAUAAUAAUUUGUCUCUUUUUAUAUACAACUGGAGUCCCUUCAUCUGCUUUGGCUGGUACCACUACAGAAGAAUGUUAGUCUCACUAUUCAUAUUUAUUGUAAUUUCUUCAGUCAAAUGUAAGCCCAGAAGAACAGAAAUUACAACAUGCACUGACACUGCUGCAGUUGUGUUCAGCAAGUUCAGAAACAGUAAGCUUGGAAAUAAAUUUACCCUUUCAGGAAAUAAUACAAGGGUUCUGGUUAAUUCCUUCACCCUCCAAACUACACAAAAGCUGAUACAUGAUCUCAAGCCUUCACGUACACAGUAACUAUACACUGGAGCAUCACUCAAUCAAUGUAUCUUUUAGAUACAAGUUUACACUAUUCUAAUAAUCUUCUAAGGCUGCAUUCUCAAUAUUCCUAUCCUUUUAACUAUUUGUUGUGUUGUAAAUGACACCUUCCUAAAUGGCCAUCCAUACGAUAUCACAUCUGACAUUACAAUUUCCUAAUUUUGCAGCACAUUAUCAAACAUCUAUUAUGAUGUUAAGAACAUAGGUAGACAAUAUUCAGUGAAGAUCUGCUACAUGCAUACCCAAACCAAUAUGUGUCCUGGUUUUGGCCAGGACAAACAGCUGAGUGAAGGACCAAGGUGUAGGCUAA